rnacentral:rRNA from 1 species
UUCCGGGGUAGAACUAACAGGAUUCCCCUAGUAACUGCGAGUGAAGCGGGAAAAGCUCAAAUUUAAAAUCUGGCGGUCUUUGGCCGUCCGAGUUGUAGUCUGGAGAAGUGCUUUCCGCGCUGGACCGUGUAUAAGUCUCUUGGAACAGAGCGUCAUAGAGGGUGAGAAUCCCGUCUUUGACACGGACUACCAGUGCUUUGUGAUGCGCUCUCAAAGAGUCGAGUUGUUUGGGAAUGCAGCUCAAAAUGGGUGGUAAAUUCCAUCUAAAGCUAAAUAUUGGCGAGAGACCGAUAGCGAACAAGUACCGUGAGGGAAAGAUGAAAAGCACUUUGGAAAGAGAGUUAAACAGUACGUGAAAUUGCUGAAAGGGAAACGCUUGAAGUCAGUCGCGUCUGCCGGAACUCAGCCUUGCUUUUGCUUGGUGCAUUUUCCGGUUGACGGGCCAGCAUCGAUUUUGACCGUCGGAAAAGGGCUAGGGAAAUGUGGCACCUUCGGGUGUGUUAUAGUCUCUAGUCGCAUACGACGGUUGGGAUCGAGGACCGCAGCGCGCCGCAAGGCAGGGGUUCGCCCACUUUCGCGCUUAGGAUGCUGGCAUAAUGGCUUUAAACGACCCGUCUUGAAACACGGACCAAGGAGUCUAACAAACCUGCGAGUGUUUGGGUGGUAAACCCGAGCGCGUAAUGAAAGUGAAAGUUGAGACCUCUGUCGUGGAGGGCAUCGACGCCCGGACCUGACGUUCUCUGAAGGAUCCGCGGUAGAGCAUGUUUGUUGGGACCCGAAAGAUGGUGAACUAUGCCUGAAUAGGGUGAAGCCAGAGGAAACUCUGGUGGAGGCUCGUAGCGAUUCUGACGUGCAAAUCGAUCGUCAAAUUUGGGUAUAGGGGCGAAAGACUAAUCGAACCAUCUAGUAGCUGGUUCCUGCGAGUUCUCCUACUGCGGGGAGCCCACCCCGCUUAUAAAAAGGGUUCGGAUAUAGUCUUUUCCGCCCCAUAUACCCAAAUUUUGAGCAAAUCGAGUUUGUGCGCUCGGAAAUAGUUACGAGCAUCCACCAGCAGUUUCUUCCUGGGCGUUCACCUAUUCAUGCAUGAGAUUACCAUCUUCGGUCAACAACAUGAUCUACGCGGAUCUUCAGAGAACGUCAGAUCGAGGUCAGCCUCCCGGAAGAGUCGACUUACUUCCUUACGCCGUCGUACAGACCUCAGCAGUGAACCUGGCCCGCUUUCAGAAAGAA